CAACAACCGAUUCUGAAAUUGAUUGAGCUCGGAAUCCAAAAACAUCAGCUGUCUCCCGUUUCCAGAGAGUUCGCCGACCAGUUUUGCUUUCAAACUGAAGAGAAAACUACAGUUUAACUUCACCAGGCACAAUCAUCAGAAUGAGAUGCAGGAAAAUAUUAACCCAGAAUGGUUUCAUUUUACCGUCCAGUUGUAGAUUCAUUUCACAAAUGAUAAUCGUGUAUGUCCAAAAGGUUUUGUGCGGAUCUGCGAAUUCGGUUUUUGUGGAAUAAUUCGACCAAGGGCUAUGAUGUAGCAGCGGUCAGAGUAGGUCCAAUCAUACGGCUUCAUCCCACCCCGAAAGCAGAUGAGCGCUGGGGAAUGUUUUCAGCCACCUGGAGGAGGAAGUUCAGCGCGGAAGAAAUGUUACCAGACUUCACCGAUCUGGUAUCUGGACUUUUUUGAUGAUCUCAUAGAGAUUGUGUGUGCAGAUGGGCGGUUAAAGUUCUGGGAGGGAAAGAUUUGUAACUUUAAGGUAAAUUGUUUGGAGUCAUUUGUUUUUUAUUACAACUAUUGACGGACGUUUCAUUGCAGGAUAUAUAUGAAGCCGAAAACACCCACAACAAUGGGGUAACUAACAUAAACCUCGCCGGUGACGGAGUUGAGUGAACGAAUCGAUUUUCUGAGACUGGAAACGUACACGUAAGGUUGUCAGAUCGAUUGGGGAUUUACGUCUGUAUAUGGGCGAAGUAAGUUCUAUGUUUCAAGCAAUUUUUUAAGCUCACCUAGGGCGCAGACAGAUUUUACUUGUUCUUUUAAAAUACUGUAUAUUCUAAGUCAUUUAAUUUUCAGUCUGUAAUGAGUAUGUCAUCAAGUGCCUUAAUUCUUAUUCUUUUUAGCUCACGUACGCAGCGGUUCGGCAGGAAGCAUUUCAGCAAUCCGCCGGAUCAAAUCCGUCCACAGCUUUCCCAGCUCAACAUCACGCAUCCGAGGAGGAGCUUCGAUGUAUCCUAGAGUUUCACCAGCAGGGUUACCGGUGACAUGUUUGGAAGUGGCGGGCGGUACAGUCAUGACUGGCAGCCAGGGCCACACUGUUAACGUGUUCCGGCUCGAUAGCCACCUAUUGCAGUUCACCCUAAACGGCCAUUGCGGUCCUAUUACAUGUAUUUUCAUAGACCAGUGGCAGGCUGAGAUGGGCGCAUCUGGUUGCCAGGAUGGUGUGCUAUAUGUGAGGGACUUGAUACGGGGUGCCUGUAUGUACAAAAUUGAAGCCCAUGACGACUCAAUCGUCGCACUUGCCUGUUCCCCGAGUUACGCAAUAUCGCUCGGACUGAACGAAUGAAUACGGUUCUGUGACUACGGAAAUCAAAUGAGAAUCGUUCGUUUCCCUCUUGUUGCGUCGGAAAAGUGGUUCGGUCGGGGGAAUCGUAAUCGACCAGCUAACGAAAACAAAUGUACAGCAGCUUCUGAACGAAGCCAUUGCUAGCACGAGUUUUUGAUUUGGAAGGAUAGUUG